UCGAACGAGACUUUUUAUUUGAUGCUUGCAUCUUUUAAAAAGUCCGAGUGGCGAACGGGUGAGUAACACGUGGGUAACCUGCCUUAAAGUGGGGGAUAACACUUGGAAACAGGUGCUAAUACCGCAUAACCAUCAAAACCGCCUGGUUUUGAUGUUAAAGAUGGUUCUGCUAUCGCUUUAAGAUGGACCCGCGGCGUAUUAGCUAGUUGGUGAGGUAAUGGCUUACCAAGGCAAUGAUACGUAGCCGAACUGAGAGGUUGAUCGGCCACAUUGGGACUGAGACACGGCCCAAACUCCUACGGGAGGCAGCAGUAGGGAAUCUUCCACAAUGGACGAAAGUCUGAUGGAGCAACGCCGCGUGAGUGAAGAAGGUUUUCGGAUCGUAAAACUCUGUUGUCAGAGAAGAACGUGUGUGAGAGUAACUGUUCACGCAGUGACGGUAUCUGACCAGAAAGUCACGGCUAACUACGUGCCAGCAGCCGCGGUAAUACGUAGGUGGCAAGCGUUGUCCGGAUUUAUUGGGCGUAAAGGGAACGCAGGCGGUCUUUUAAGUCUGAUGUGAAAGCCUUCGGCUUAACCGAAGUCGGGCAUUGGAAACUGGGAGACUUGAGUGCAGAAGAGGAGAGUGGAACUCCAUGUGUAGCGGUGAAAUGCGUAGAUAUAUGGAAGAACACCAGUGGCGAAAGCGGCUCUCUGGUCUGUAACUGACGCUGAGGUUCGAAAGCGUGGGUAGCAAACAGGAUUAGAUACCCUGGUAGUCCACGCCGUAAACGAUGAAUGCUAAGUGUUGGAGGGU
rnacentral:rRNA from 1 species